AUUGAACGCUGGCGGCAGGCUUAACACAUGCAAGUCGAGCGAGCGGCGGACGGGUGAGUAAUGUCUGGGAAACUGCCUGAUGGAGGGGGAUAACUACUGGAAACGGUAGCUAAUACCGCAUACCAUCAGAUGUGCCCAGAUGGGAUUGGCUAGUAGGGGGGGUAAUGGCUCACCUAGGCCACGAUCCCUAGCGGGUCCGAGAGGAUGACCAGCCACACUGGAACUGGGACACGGUCCAGACUCCUACGGGAGGCAGCAGUGGGGAAGAUUGCACAAUGGGCGCAAGCCUGAUGCAGCCAUGCCGCGGGUGUGAAGAAGGCCUUCGGGUGGUAAAGCACUUUCAGCGAGGAGGCGUUACUCGCAGAAGAAGCACCGGCUAACUCCGUGCCAGCAGCCGCGGUAAUAC
rnacentral:rRNA from 1 species